GAGCCCAGGAGGCGGGGCGCCUGUGGGAGUCGUGGAGGGAACUUUCCCAGGCCCCGAGGCGGAUCGGGUAUUGAGUCCAUGGAGCGAGCUGAGAGCUAGAGUACAGAACCUGCUAAGGCCAUCAAACCUAUCGAUCGGAAGUCAGUCCAUCAGAUUUGCUCUGGGCCGGUGGUACUGAGUCUAAGCACUGCGGUGAAGGAGUUAGUAGAAAACAGUCUGGAUGCUGGUGCCACCAAUAUUGAUCUAAAGCUUAAGGACUAUGGAGUGGAUCUCAUUGAAGUUUCAGACAAUGGAUGUGGGGUAGAAGAAGAAAACUUUGAAGGCUUAACGAUGUCACCAUUUCUACCUGCCACGCAUCGGCGAAGGUUGGGACUCGACUGGUGUUUGAUCACGAUGGGAAAAUCAUCCAGAAAACCCCCUACCCCCACCCCAGAGGGACCACAGUCAGCGUGAAGCAGUUAUUUUCUACACUACCUGUGCACCAUAAGGAAUUUCAAAGGAAUAUUAAGAAGACGUGCCUGUUUCCCCUUCGCCUUCUGCCGUGAUUGUCAGUUUCCUGAGGCCUCCCCAGCCAUGCUUCCUGUACAGCCUGCAGAACUGGACCAUUGCAAGCUGCAGAAAAUGAGAAGACCCUACUGACCAGCCCAAGAAGACAGAUGACAAGAUACUGAGGAUGGCCGUAUAAGAAAAUAAACAACUUGCUAAAACUGCUGAAACUCCCUCUGCUUGUGAGAUUUAAAAAAACUGGCUGAAAUUGGUUGGAACCAACAUGUCCAAUGGAGUCUGAAUAGAAAGAGCUUGCUGACAUCACAGCCCGAAUUUCCACCACAUUUCAUACUAACUCCCCCUGAAUUUGCAUAUGCAAACCACAAGCAAGCAUGAUCAAACAGACAACUGCGCGUGUCCGAGGACUUUCCAGAUCUCCCCUUUCCUUCCACCAAUCACUUACUAAUCUGAGAAUCCAUCCCCUAAUAAAAUCACUGCCUUAAAGCCUGCACAGGAAGACAAAUUUGA
ensembl:lncRNA PMS2P4 PMS1 homolog 2, mismatch repair system component pseudogene 4